rnacentral:tRNA from 1 species
GUUUUAAUAAUUUAAAUAAAAAUAUUGAUUUUGUAAAUCAAAUUUAAGAAAAAUCUUUUAAAACU